rnacentral:rRNA from 1 species
CAAUAGCGUAUAUUUAAGUUGUUGCAGUUAAAAAGCUCGUAGUUGGAUUUCGGAUGGGAUUUGCCGGUCCGUCGUUACGAUUUGCACUGGCCAGUCCUAUCUUGUUGUCGGGGACUAGCUCUUUGGAUUCACUUCCUGGGACUAGGAGCUGACGAGGUUACUUUGAGUAAAUUAGAGUGUUCAAAGCAAGCCUACGCUCUGAAUACAUUAGCAUGGAAUAACACGAUAGGACUCUGGCUUAUCUUGUUGGUCUGUGAGACCAGAGUAAUGAUUAAGAGGGACAGUCGGGGACAUUCGUAUUUCAUUGUCAGAGGUGAAAUUCUUGGAUUUAUGAAAGACGAACUUCUGCGAAAGCAUUUGUCAAGGAUGUUUUCAUUAA